rnacentral:rRNA from 1 species
CAGUCGCCGCGGGAACACGGAGGAUCCAAGCGUUAUCCGGAAUCAUUGGGUUUAAAGGGUCCGUAGGCGGUCUUGUAAGUCAGUGGUGAAAGCCCAUCGCUCAACGGUGGAACGGCCAUUGAUACUGCAGGACUUGAAUUAUUGGGAAGUAACUAGAAUAUGUAGUGUAGCGGUGAAAUGCUUAGAGAUUACAUGGAAUACCAAUUGCGAAGGCAGGUUACUACCAAUUGAUUGACGCUGAUGGACGAAAGCGUGGGUAGCGAACAGGAUUAGAUACCCGAGUAGUCCCUGUCUCUUAUAA